GGAGGGGUGGCCGAGCGGUUGAAGGCAACGGUCUUGAAAACCGUCGUUCCGCAAGGAACCGUGGGUUCGAAUCCCACCCCCUCCGCCA
rnacentral:tRNA from 1 species